rnacentral:lncRNA from 10 species
CAUCUCCUCGGAACUCACCCAGGCCAGUGAGGCCUUAACUCUGAAAGGCAAAAAGACUCUCAGGCGCUCACAGCCGGCGUCACAAAAGGAACGGCGCACCGCUGACGUCAUUUACGCUCUCCGCCUCGGGCCAGGCGGGGUUUCGGGACUAGGGUUUCUGCCGUGUAAUACCUCCUCGAGGCAGAAAAAUUCUACUUUCCAUCUGCUUGGCUGCGGAGGACCUUGGGGUGGGCUCAGCGUGGGGGCUGCAGGCAGAAAUGGGUCCAGAAGGCAAGGUCGAGGUUAGAGCCAAGCCUGUGGGCAGGGCUACGGGCAGGGGGCGGGGAGGAAUGUGGGUCCAGGCCCAGAGGAAAAGGUUGAAGUUAUAGCCAGGCCUGUGGGCGAGGCCGCAGCAGGGCGGCCAUAGGGGAAGGAGCCAAUGUGUUAUGCAUGUAGAAAAUAGGUUUUCUGCCUUGCUUUAAAACAUCUUUUCUUUUUUUUUGAGACAAAAUCUCACUCUGUCACCAAGGCUGGAGUUCAGUGGAGCCAUCUCAGCUCACUGCAACCUCCACCUCCCAGGUUCAAGCGAUUCUCCUGCCUCAUCCUCCCAAGUAGCUGGAAUUACAGGUGCAUGCUGCCACACCCUGCUAAUUUUUGUAUUUUUAGUAGAGGCAGGGUUUUGCCAUGCUGGCCAGGCUGGUCUUGAACUACUUGUCAGGCCUCUGAGCCCAAGUUAAAUCAUCAUAAACCCUGUCACCUGCACGUAUACAUCCAGAUGGCCUGGAGCAACUGAAGAACCACAAAAGAAGUGAAACAGCCAGUUCCUGCCUUAACUGAUGACGUUCCACCAUUGUGAUUUGUUGCUGCCCCACCCCAACUGAUCUCUUGACCUUGUGACAUUCUUCUUCUGGACGAGUCUCAGGAGUUCCCCACCGAGCACCUUGUGACCCCCGGCCCUGCCAGCAAAAGAUAACCACCUUUAACUUUCCACUACCUACCCAAAUCCUAUAAAACUGCCCCACCCCUAUCUCCCUUUGCUGACCCCUUUCUCGGACUCAGCCCACUUGCACCCAAGUGAAUAAACAGCCUUGUUGCUAACACAAAGCCUAUUGGUGGUCUCUUCACAUGGAUGUGUGUAACAUUUGGUUCCGAAACCUGGGACAGGGGGACUCCCUUGGGAGACUGGCCCCGUCCUCACCCUCACUCCGUGAGGAGCUCCACCUACUACCUCGGGUCCUCAGACUAGCCCAA